rnacentral:rRNA from 1 species
UACGUAGGGUGCGAGCGUUGUCCGGAAUUAUUGGGCGUAAAGAGCUCGUAGGCGGUCUGUCGCGUCGAUCGUGAAAACUUGGGGCUUAACCCCGAGCCUGCUUCUGAUACGGGCAGACUAGAGGUAUGCAGGGGAGAACGGAAUUCCUGGUGUAGCGGUGAAAUGCGCAGAUAUCAGGAGGAACACCGGUGGCGAAGGCGGUUCUCUGGGCAUUACCUGACGCUGAGGAGCGAAAGCGUGGGGAGCAAACAGG